AUGCUAUCCGUGUAUACUUUUACUAGAAAAGGGGUGUACCGAGGCGAUGUAUCAGGUGAAAACGCACAUUCAGUGCAAAUAUGGAAACUAUUGUUUUGGGGCAUGAGAUCGGCAACAUACGGUGACAGAUCACAUGUGGGAUUGCUUUCAGAUUCACUUAAGAGUGCAGUUAACCCCUCUCUCCUUAAUUGUAGACAAAUUAUUUGGGAGGUCAUGCGUCGUUCUCCUGCCACCAGCGUUCGUCCGUUUCUAUUCCAUAGGGAGUCACCGUCGCGGCUAAUGGAAAUUGUUGUCGUCGCCGUUAGGAGCUGA
rnacentral:rRNA from 1 species